UACGUAGGGUGCAAGCGUUAUCCGGAAUUAUUGGGCGUAAAGAGCUCGUAGGCGGUUUGUCGCGUCUGCUGUGAAAACCCGAGGCUCAACCCCGGGCCUGCAUUCGAUACGGGCAGACUAGAGUUCGGUAGGGGAGUCUGGAAUUCCUGGUGUAGCGGUGAAAUGCGCAGAUAUCAGGAGGAACACCGGUGGCGAAGGCGGGACUCUGGGCCGAUACUGACGCUGAGGAGCGAAAGCGUGGGGAGCAAACAGG
rnacentral:rRNA from 1 species